rnacentral:pre_miRNA from 1 species
AUUCUACUCCCUCCGUUGCACAAUACAUGCCUUCUAUUUGUCAAAAUAUAUAUGUAUCUAAACAUGUCUUAGUAUAUAGGUACAUCCAUUUUUGGACAAAUGGAAGUCAAGUAUUUUGGAACGGAGGGAGUACAUA